UACGUGGGGGGCAAGCGUUAUCCGGAUUUACUGGGCGUAAAGGGUGCGUAGGUGGUUUCUUAAGUCAGGAGUGAAAGGCUACGGCUCAACCGUAGUAAGCUCUUGAAACUGGGAAACUUGAGUGCAGGAGAGGAAAGUGGAAUUCCUAGUGUAGCGGUGAAAUGCGUAGAUAUUAGGAGGAACACCAGUAGCGAAGGCGGCUUUCUGGACCGUAACUGACACUGAGGCACGAAAGCUUAGGGAGCAAACAGG
rnacentral:rRNA from 1 species